UGGACUGCUGAAGGCUCGGCGGGCUCUUGCUCCCAGGACAGCUGUCAUGAUUCAGCAGCGGGCGGGUUACAUCAGCAGCAAACCACCUAAAGAUAAAGUUGGCCCGGUGGUGAGUCGGCACAUCUUAUGUUUAGCUCUGUGAGGAGUCUGUGUUCGUGCUGACUGUGAUGACUCUGGCCGUGCUCGGACCUUCUGGAUGGAUCCUCGCCCACUUGGACGCUUAUAAAAGCCGUUCAUGAUGGAUGAGACCUGCAGCGUCGUUUACACUUGAUAACGCCAGUAUGUCUGCCCUUAAAGCGCCAUCUGAACCCUUUUGAGGCUUUUUUUCAUUUAAUAAACUUUCUCUAUUACACUUGGUCAGUUUA